rnacentral:rRNA from 1 species
AACGAUAGCUAAUACCGCAUAACAGUAGAUGUUGCAUGACAUUUGCUUAAAAGGUGCAAUUGCAUCACUACCAGAUGGACCUGCGUUGUAUUAGCUAGUUGGUGGGGUAACGGCUCACCAAGGCGACGAUACAUAGCCGACCUGAGAGGGUGAUCGGCCACACUGGGACUGAGACACGGCCCAG